rnacentral:sRNA from 1 species
UGCAUUUGAAGCCCAUGAGGAUGAGAACCUCUGGGGGCGGGGAGGUUCGACUCGAGCGAAGCGAGAGAACGUUGCGCCAGCAACGGCCCGCAGGGCGAGCCACGAAGUGGCGAGUAAUCCUCUAUCACCGACCA